AUUGAACGCUGGCGGCAGGCCUAACACAUGCAAGUCGAGCGGAGCGGCGGACGGGCGAGUAAUGCCUAGGAAUCUGACUGGUCGUGGGGGAUGACGUCCGGAAAGGGGCGCUAAUACCGCCUACUCUCAGAUGAGCCUAGGUCGGAUUAGCUAGAUGGUGGGGUAAAGGCCUACCAAGGCGACGAUCCGUAACUGGUCUGAGAGGAUGAUCAGUCACACUGGAACUGAGACACGGUCCAGACUCCUACGGGAGGCAGCAGUGGGGAAUAUUGGACAAUGGGCGAAAGCCUGAUCCAGCCAUGCCGCGUGUGUGAAGAAGGUCUUCGGAUUGUAAAGCACUUUAAGUUGGGAGGCGUUACCAACAGAAGAAGCACCGGCUAACUUCGUGCCAGCAGCCGCGGUAAUUC
rnacentral:rRNA from 1 species